rnacentral:rRNA from 1 species
UUGGAAAGAUUUUUUGGUCUUGCGGAUGGGUCGCGGCCUAUCAGCUUGUUGGUGAGGUAAUGGCUCACCAAGGCGUCGACGGGUAGCCGGCCUGAGAGGGUGACCGGCCACACUGGGACUGAGACACGGCCCAGACUCCUACGGGAGGCAGCAGUGGGGAAUAUUGCACAAUGGGCGAAAGCCUGAUGCAGCAACGCCGCGUGAGGGAUGACGGCCUUCGGGUUGUAAACCUCUUUUAGCAGGGAAGAAGCGAAAGUGACGGUACCUGCAGAAAAAGCGCCGGCUAACUACGUGCCUGCCGCCGCGGUAAUAC